GCCGGUGUGGCGGAACUGGCAGACGCGCGGGACUCAAAAUCCCGUGCCUAGCGAUAGGCGUGUGGGUUCGAUCCCCUCCACCGGCA
rnacentral:tRNA from 1 species